rnacentral:tmRNA from 1 species
GGGGGUGAAAGGGUUCGACUUAAGAUGGUCGGAUAAGAGCAGCAUGCCGCGGAGGUAAGGUUAGCCGCGUUAACAACUCCUUACACAAUUUAAACGCAAACACGCAAGUGUCACGUUUAGGAACAUUGGUUCCGUCCUUUGCGGCGAGACCUAUGUUCGUACCAGCCUUCGGACUUAAUUAAGUCCGAAGCCUCUAACCGUCCUGCCUACGGGAUGGAUUAGGGCCUAAGUAGGAUAGCUUCGGCGGUUAGCCUUUGAAGUCGGAGCAAAAUUCAAAAAGGCUGCAUCUUGGGCAAUCCUGUCUACCGGAGUGCGUAAGAUUAAGAUUAAUAGAGAGACUAAGCAUGUAGCGGCUUUUAUUUGAUUACUUAAGGACGGCGGUUCAAUUCCGCCCACCUCCACCA